UGGGGAAUAUUGCACAAUGGGGGAAACCCUGAUGCAGCGACGCCGCGUGAACGAAGAAGGUAUUCGUAUCGUAAAGUUCUGUCCUAUGGGAAGAUAAUGACAGUACCAUAGAAGAAAGCUCCGGCUAAAUACGUGCCAGCAGCCGCGGUAAUACGUAUGGAGCGAGCGUUGUCCGGAAUUAUUGGGCGUAAAGGGUACGCAGGCGGUUUAAUAAGUCGAAUGUUAAAGAUCGGGGCUCAACCCCGUAAAGCAUUGGAAACUGAUAAACUUGAGUAGUGGAGAGGAAAGUGGAAGUCCUAGUGUAGUGGUGAAAUACGUAGAUAUUAGGAGGAAUACCAGUAGCGAAGGCGACUUUCUGGACACAAACUGACGCUGAGGUACGAAAGCGUGGGGAGCAAACAGG
rnacentral:rRNA from 1 species